GACAGAGGGUGCAAACGUUGUUCGGAAUUACUGGGCGUAAAGCGCAUGUAGGCGGCCAAGCAGGUCGGAUGUGAAAUCCCUCGGCUCAACCAAGGAAGUGCAUUCGAAACCGCAUGGCUGGAGUCCCGGAGAGGGUGGUGGAAUUCUUGGUGUAGAGGUGAAAUUCGUAGAUAUCAAGAGGAACACCGGCGGCGAAGGCGGCCACCUGGACGAGGACUGACGCUGAGAUGCGAAAGCGUGGGGAGCAAAC
rnacentral:rRNA from 1 species